UUCGUUGCUUUCGUUCGGUUUUGAUUCCAUUCGGUUGUGUUUCUCAUUCGAGAACAUUCAUUUAUAAUUUUUUGACUCCUCUGCACCAGUUUUUGUGUUGUAUUCAGUUACGAAUUUGUUGUGUUCUCGGUUUUUUCCAACUAAAAAAAAAAAAAAAACAAACAAAACAAAAACUAAAACUAAAACAAACUAUAUCUAAUAAUAAUAGUCAAAGAAACACAGACACAACAGCAACAACAGUAACAACAACAACUGCAACUGCAAUCGCAAUAACUGUGCAUGACUCUCUGUGCAAUAUACCAGAUGAUAUAUCAUAUAUAAUUUAUGUAUAUAUAUGUGCAUACAUAUAUAGGUAUAUAGAUUUAUAUAUGUACUCCAACUAUCGCAACUUUCGUUUCGUUACGUUUCGCUUUUAACACUCGUGUCGGGCCCCAUAAAUUGCAAUACUUUAAACCCAUUUAAAAGCCGAGCUAAGUUGUUAAGCAGCAGCAACAACUACAACAACAACAACAACAACUGCAACAACAACAACAACAACAACGCAUCGAUUGUGUUCAACUGUCCUAGUCAAAUUUGUUCAUUUUUUUCGCUUUUUGUUACACUGUGCAAAAGCUAAGCCACAUUUAAACUGUGUCUGCAGAGAAACCACAAGAGCAACAACAACCACGCAGCACACUACAGCGAAAGCCCCAACAACAGCAACAACAACAACAGCAACAGCAACAACAAGCGUGUGUGUGGGCGAGGCGGAGACAUACGCCAGAACGAGAUAGCAGCUGCAGACCAGGCGCCCAACGUGAGAGUGUGCGAGCGAGCGAGCGAACGUCUUGCAAUCAAUAGAACCAAAAAGUUGUAUUGUUACUGCUGCUGCUGCUGCUGCUGCUGCUUCUUCUUCUUCAUUUUCGUGCUCACCCCAAACACCGGGACGUCAAAGUUUUUUUUUUUGCUAUCUUUUUUUCUACGUGUCUGUGUCGACUGUAUGGCAAAAAUCUAUUGAGUAAAAAUACGAGCGAGCAAUCGAACAGAGGCUUAUCAUAUAUCAGAGACACGUUACAGGCGAGAACAGGAGGAAGAGUAUAAUCAAUCGAUGAGAACGAUUUUUAAACUGCAACCGAAGCAAAGCGAAAAACCAAACACCACCAAA